CCCUUCGGGGUACACGAGCGGCGAACGGGUGAGUAACACGUGGGCAACCUGCCCUACACUCUGGGAUAAGCCCGGGAAACUGGGUCUAAUACCGGAUACGACUUCGUGAGGCAUCUUGCGGGGUGGAAAGUUCCGGCGGUGUAGGAUGGGCCCGCGGCCUAUCAGCUUGUUGGUGGGGUAGUGGCCUACCAAGGCGACGACGGGUAGCCGGCCUGAGAGGGCGACCGGCCACACUGGGACUGAGACACGGCCCAG
rnacentral:rRNA from 1 species